rnacentral:rRNA from 1 species
AGUGAACGCUGGCGGCAGGCCUAACACAUGCAAGUCGAACGGCAGCACAGUAAGAGCUUGCUCUUACGGGUGGCGAGUGGCGGACGGGUGAGGAAUACAUCGGAAUCUACUUUUUCGUGGGGGAUAACGUAGGGAAACUUACGCUAAUACCGCAUACGACCUACGGGUGAAAGCAGGGGAUCUUCGGACCUUGCGCGAUUGAAUGAGCCGAUGUCGGAUUAGCUAGUUGGCGGGGUAAAGGCCCACCAAGGCGACGAUCCGUAGCUGGUCUGAGAGGAUGAUCAGCCACACUGGAACUGAGACACGGUCCAGACUCCUACGGGAGGCAGCAGUGGGGAAUAUUGGACAAUGGGCGCAAGCCUGAUCCAGCCAUACCGCGUGGGUGAAGAAGGCCUUCGGGUUGUAAAGCCCUUUUGUUGGGAAAGAAAAGCAGCAGGUUAAUACCCCGCUGUUCUGACGGUACCCAAAGAAUAAGCACCGGCUAACUUCG